GAGGACGAACGCUGGCGGCGUGCUUAACACAUGCAAGUCGAGCGGGGAGAGCGAUAGUUUACUAGAGUUUUCCUAGCGGCGGACGGGUGAGUAACACGUGAAGAACCUGCCUUACAGAGGGGGACAACAGCUGGAAAUGGCUGCUAAUACCGCAUAAGCGCACAGGACUGCAUGGUCCAGUGUGAAAAACUCCGGUGGUAUGAGAUGGACCCGCGUCUGAUUAGCUAGUUGGUGGGGUAACGGCCUACCAAGGCGACGAUCAGUAGCCGACCUGAGAGGGUGACCGGCCACAGUUGGGACUGAGACACGGACCCAAACUCCUACGGGAGGCAGCAGUGGGGAAUAUUGCACAAUGGGGGAAACCCUGAUGCAGCGACGCCGCGUGAGUGAAGAAGUAUUUCGGUAUGUAAAGCUCUAUCAGCAGGGAAGAAAAUGACGGUACCUGACUAAGAAGCCCCGGCUAACUACGUGCCAGCAGCCGCGGUAA
rnacentral:rRNA from 1 species